rnacentral:lncRNA from 1 species
UCUGAGCUAGCGACGUAUAGAGUGCGGGGGCACAGAGACAUCUGAGCUAGCGACGCAUAUGUGAUGAGUACGGGGGCCCAGAGACGUCUGAGCUAGCGACGUAUAUAUUGUGUGGUGCGGGGUGCAGAGACGUUUGCAUAUCAACGCAUAUUGGUGGAGUGCGGGGGUCCAGAGAUGUCUGGACUAGGGACGCAUAUUAUAUUAUCAUAUAUCCUUAUGAGGAGAAUGCGGGGUAUGUGGACUAGCUAUGUACCAUCAGCGCCUUGUUUGUUUUGUGUGAUGCUCUAGGCAUCUUGUUUGUUCAUGCUAGAGCUAUGCCUACAUAGUCGUAGUGCUAUGUACUGAGUCAGUGGUUUGCGGUUUAGCAUCCCAUACCUCACUGG